GAAAUGCGAUAAGUAAUGUGAAUUGCAGAAUUCAGUGAAUCAUCGAAUCUUUGAACGCACCUUGCACUCCUUGGUAUUCCUUGGAGCAUGCCUGUUUGAGUAUCAUGAAAUCUUCAAAGUAAAUCUUUUGUUAACUCAAUUGGUUUCUACUUUGGUAUUGGAGGUCUUUGCAGCUUCACACCUGCUCCUCUUUGUUCAUUAGCUGGAUCUCAGUGUUAUGCUUGGUUCCACUCGGCGUGAUAAGUUAUCUAUCGCUGAGGACACUGUAAAAGGUGGCCAAGGUAAAUGCAGAUGAACCGCUUCUAAUAGUCCAUUGACUUGGACAAUACUUUUAUGAUCUGAUCUCAAAUCAGGUAUGACUACCCGCUGAACUUAAGC
rnacentral:misc_RNA from 1 species